CAAGUCCUACGGGGGGCAGCAGUGAGGAAUAUUGGUCAAUGGGCGGGAGCCUGAACCAGCCAAGUCGCGUGAGGGAAGACGGUCCUAUGGAUUGUAAACCUCUUUAGGCGGGGAGCAAUGCCGGGCACGCGUGCCCGGAGGGAGAGUACCCGCAGAAUAAGCAUCGGCUAACUCCGUGCCAGCAGCCGCGGUAAUACGGAGGAUGCGAGCGUUAUCCGGAUUUAUUGGGUUUAAAGGGUGCGUAGGCGGCCUGCUAAGUCUGGAGUGAAAGGUACCGGCUCAACCGGUACAGGCUCUGGAAACUG
rnacentral:rRNA from 1 species